GGCCGGGUGCAGACGGCGGCCGCCGCGGGCCCAGCCCCCUGCCCCCCUUCGUCUGCGUGCACACCUGGCGCCCCCCUGACCUGUGCUUGAACUCUAGUUGGCUGGGGACGGGCUGGAAAGCUGGGGUGGGGGCGGGGGACGGGUUUCGGGGACCCUGCUCGGACAGAAAGAUCCGUUGGAAGUGCACGCAGAUUACCAAAACCUCAGUGCCUGGCAAGGCUUGGAGAAGAGCCUGAAAACAAAGCCAUGACAAAGGAAAUGGAGACUAACCUCACUGGAGCACCUGGACCCAGCCAUCCCUGAAGCCACUGUUGACAAAAAAAUUCAAGGUUAAUACCCGGGGUGGAUGAAGGAAUGGAGCACUGAACACUCUCAGACACUGCUGGUGGAAUGCAAACUAGAACAGACCCAGUAGAGGACUUUUGGCAAGGUCUAUUAAAAGAGCUGUUUCUUGUACUCCAAUAAUUUGACAUAAUCAGCUACAAGUCAGAGAAACUCACUGACACAAUGUACAUAAGAAGGAGGGACAGUCUACAUAUUGGAAAAAAGUGGAAUUCACCUAAAUAUCCAUCCAUUAGUCUGUAAGAAAAUUUUAAAAUGAACUUUUAUGUCAUCAUUCCAUGAUAUACUCUAUAGCAGUUAUUAGCUAUCUAUGUCCUAACAUAAAAUAUCCUAUGUCCUAAUGUCCUAACGUAAAAUAUCUCCAAGGCAGAUUGUUGAGUGAAAAAAAAGGUAAGUUGUGGUAUUCACUUGUAUAUAUAAAAAUUAGCCAAACAGAAAUGAAUGCAGUCUUUUUGUAAAAGGUUAAUAUGAGUAAAGCAAAAGAUCCCCUUGAUUGGGAAAAUCCCACUCUAUAUAGACAUAGAUAUAGAUAUGUGAAGUUUUAAAAAAGAUUUUAUUAAUUUAUUUGAGAGA